rnacentral:rRNA from 1 species
AUUGAACGCUGGCGGAAUGCUUUACACAUGCAAGUCGAACGGCAGCACGGGGGCAACCCUGGUGGCGAGUGGCGAACGGGUGAGUAAUACAUCGGAACGUGCCCAGUCGUGGGGGAUAACGUAGCGAAAGUUACGCUAAUACCGCAUACGAUCUACGGAUGAAAGCGGGGGACCGUAAGGCCUCGCGCGAUUGGAGCGGCCGAUGUCAGAUUAGGUAGUUGGUGAGGUAAAGGCUCACCAAGCCGACGAUCUGUAGCUGGUCUGAGAGGACGACCAGCCACACUGGGGAUGGGAAACGGCCCAGACUCCUACGGGAGGCAGCAGUGGGGAAUUUUGGACAAUGGGCGCAAGCCUGAUCCAGCCAUUCCGCGUGCAGGACGAAGGCCUUCGGGUUGUAAACUGCUUUUGUACGGAACGAAAAGGCUCUGGUUAAUACCUGGGGCUCAUGACGGUACCGUAAGAAUAAGCACCGGCUAACUACGUGCCAGCCGCCGCAGUAA